rnacentral:rRNA from 1 species
AUUGAACGCUGGCGGCAGGCUUAACACAUGCAAGUCGAGCGGGGUGAUGGUGCUUGCACUAUCACUUAGCGGCAGACGGGUGAGUAAUGCUUAGGAAUCUGCCUAUUAGUGGGGGACAACAUCUCGAAAGGGAUGCUAAUACCGCAUACGUCCUACGGGAGAAAGCAGGGGAUCACUUGUGACCUUGCGCUAAUAGAUGAGCCUAAGUCGGAUUAGCUAGUUGGUGGGGUAAAGGCCUACCAAGGCGACGAUCUGUAGCGGGUCUGAGAGGAUGAUCCGCCACACUGGGACUGAGGCACGGCCCAGACUCCUACGGGAGGCAGCAGUGGGGAAUAUUGGACAAUGGGGGGAACCCUGAUCUAGCCAUGCCGCGUGUGUGAAGAAGGCCUUAUGGUUGUAAAGCACUUUAAGCGAGGAGGAGGCUCUUUUGGUUAAUACCCAAGAUGAGUGGACGUUACUCGCAGAAUAAGCACCGGCUAACUCUGUGCCAGCAGCCGCGGUAA